ensembl:lncRNA
AGGGAGAACAGUGGGUUUCGCUGAGGUCCAUAGCAGGUUAUUGAUCAAGGAACCAUGGAAGACAUAGCGACCUGUGCCUGUUGUCCCACCCACGUCGGACCCCCGAACGAUGUCGUGUUUUUGUACAAAAAAGCAGCCGUAGGUUCAGACAGCAUCUUCUACAGGAAGUGGAUCUGGACGACUGCGUGAUGCCAGCCGGAUUGUCACCGCAGUUCUGGGUGGAACCGCGGCGCCAAUCCCACAGCCCCCCCUGGCAGUGGGGAGCUUCAUUUACUGCGGGCAGCUGGG